UGUGCAACAUGGUUAUGGGUACUACAGUGGAUGUGAGUGUGUAGACCUUGUACAAUAGAGCUUAUAGGCUAAUGAGAAGACAGGAAGAAACAACAGGAACACAUAUAGCUGGAAUGCAGAUGGGAUCUGUGCUACUUACGCUAGCCAUGGGAUGAUUAGAACAAGAUAAGAGACAUGAGGAAGACUUCUUCAAGGAGGUGCUCAAGCCAUGUUUUGGAAAAGAGAACUCAAGGUCUGGCAGGGAGAAAGGAGCAAGACUUUGAGUCUUUGCUUCAGAUGCAGAUCAAGAUGUGGCAACCUGUUGUGGAGAACUGGGUCCCUUGAGCCUGUGCUGUCUCUUUUUUUCUGGUGGCUUUGUCAUUUGGAACAAUGCAUAAUGGGCUGGAGGCUGAGAAACUCUGAGCUGAGAGAUGGAGUCUUGCUUUGUUGCCCAGGCUGCAGUGCAGUGGCACCAUCAUGGCUCACCGCAGCCUUGGCCUCGUGGGCUCAAGCUAUUCUAUUUCAGCCUCCCAAGUAGCUGGGAAUACAGGUGACACAAGGAUGACAGGAACAGUUAUCAGGGAAGCACACUGAUCGACUGAGCUGCCUGCUCCUGGCCUUCUGGAUCCUCCUCAGUUCCUGCUUAUCUCUAGGCCAGGCUCUCAACUCUGUCAAUUCUGGCAAGUAGAGCUGCAGCUGUCUGGCGCCACUGUAAUGCUGUCUCCUCCUCUGAGUGAGUUCAUCCUGGAAACAUUUUCUCCCAUAAGACAUGCACAGGUCUUACGUUUACAUGUUUCACUGAAAGAAAUUUGAUUCCACUGCUGGGAUGACAAGGAAGACUGAAGAAACCUAAUCCUAGGUGCUGCCACUGGGACAAACAAGAAGCACCAGACACAGUGCUGUUUUAGGGUGGGGCAGAAUUAUGCUGAGGGAAAAGUUAUUAUCACUCUUUAAGGCCAAGGAAACCACAAUUUUUAAAGAAGCUUCUAGAAAUUCUACCCAGUAGAAAAUAAAGAUAAACUUCUGUAAGGAAUUUCA
ensembl:lncRNA LINC02532 long intergenic non-protein coding RNA 2532